AUUGAACGCUGGCGGCAGGCUUAACACAUGCAAGUCGAGCGAGCGGCGGACGGGUGAGUAAUGGCUGGGAAACUGCCUGAUGGAGGGGGAUAACUACUGGAAACGGUAGCUAAUACCGCAUACCAUCAGAUGUGCCCAGAUGGGAUUAGCUAGUAGGUGGGGUAAUGGCUCACCUAGGCGACGAUCCCUAGCUGGCCUGAGAGGAUGACCAGCCACACUGGAACGGAGACACGGUCCAGACUCCUACGGGAGGCAGCAGUGGGGAAUAUUGGACAAUGGGCGAAAGUCUGAUGCAGCCAUGCCGCGUGUGUGAAGAAGGUCUUCGGGUUGUAAAGCACUUUCAUCGGGGAGGCGUUACUUGCAGAAGAAGCAACGGCUAACUCCGUGCCAGCAGCCGCGGUAAUAC
rnacentral:rRNA from 1 species